UACGUAGGGGGCAAGCGUUAUCCGGAUUUACUGGGUGUAAAGGGAGCGUAGACGGCAGUGCAAGUCUGAAGUGAAAGGCGGGGGCCCAACCCCCGGACUGCUUUGGAAACUGUGCUGCUGGAGUGCAGGGGAGGCAAGUGGAAUUCCUAGUGUAGCGGUGAAAUGCGUAGAUAUUAGGAGGAACACCAGUGGCGAAGGCGGCUUGCUGGACUGUAACUGACGUUGAGGCUCGAAAGCGUGGGGAGCAAACAGG
rnacentral:rRNA from 1 species